UACGUAGGGUGCAAGCGUUAAUCGGAAUUACUGGGCGCAAAGCGUGCGCAGGCGGUUGUGCAAGACAGAAUGUGAAAUCCCCGGGCUCAACCUGGGAAUUGCAUUUGUGACUGCACGGCUAGAGUGUGUCAGAGGGGGGUAGAAUUCCACGUGUAGCAGUGAAAUGCGUAGAGAUGUGGACGGAAUACCGAUGGCGAAGGCAGCCCCCUGGGAUAACACUGACGGCUCCAUGGCACGAAAAGGCGUGGGGAGCAAACAGG
rnacentral:rRNA from 1 species